CACCUGUCAGAAUCCAGUAUGCUUGGCAGGAUGGGCACAGUGUUUUAUGGGGGCUCCAUUCAACGGCUUUGCUCCAGAAACCUCCCAACCUGGCACCAUCACUGUUCAUGGCUGUUGUGAGAGGAAGAAAUGUACCCACUGAAUGUCUUCUUGAAAAAUAGUACCGGUCUUCCCCUUUGAAUAAAAUAUUGGUAUCCAUAAACGGCUGAGAUAUGCCUAAUCACAUUCAUACUCAUUUCCAUCGACCUAAACCGAUAAUGCUUGCCCUCAGUAUGACAUUAGGUCCUGGGUACAGCAAUUACCAGCAUACCUACAGUCCUCCAUGACCCUGCCGUUACAUUUAGGCUUGCCACCCAUUCUUUGUUUCAAAGAAUAGUUCUUUACUACCCGACCCACACAGAGCAUCUGUGCGCUGUUUGGGGCCAGCUGUUCCCCCAUCCCUCUUGCCUCACUCUCCCUCCCCCUCCCUCCUGUCCCACUUUCUUGCCUCCCUCCCCCUCCCUCCUGCCCCACUCUCUCUUUCCCACUCACCCCCUUUCCAGUCUCUCUGCUGCUUUCCCGCCACUUUCUCAUCUUGCUGGCCAUCUCAGCAGCCGUCCCACUACCGCCUCCUGCCCCCGGUGGCCAGGCCGGGCUUUGCCGCCACCACCGCCUCCCCCUUACCUGGGAUGGAUAGCAGAUUGCACUCUGGUACUACAACUCCCAUGAUAAUGCUUGUGUUUGGAGUCAAAGGUUCACCUUUGCCCCUGCAGGCGAUGAAAAGAGGCUGAGCCUUGCGGAGCAGAGAGCUACCACACUGUGAAGGCGUGGCGCCUUCUGCAAAAGUCUCUCCCUUGAGUUGAAGACCUUGUCUGUCUGUCAUCAUGGCAUCUUCUUCUUCCACCCAACCGCCAGCAAAAAAGGUGGGUGUGGGGAGUGUGACUUUAUCUUAGUUGAAGGUUUUACAAAGUUUUUGGUGUUCAUCAUCAGAAAGUUCUGCCUUGUGAUUUGGAUCUUUAUUGCUUUAUAUAAAUUGCCCAGCAGGGAGAGGGUCAGGGUAUUAGUUUUGCUCCAUGCUUAUGGAUAUACUUAAGGAGGGAAUAUAAAAGGGAAAUGACUUUCCUUUCCUGACAUACAUAAGUGAAGGAGAUCCAGAAGAUUUUUCAAGUUAUUUCUUGCAUUACUUCAUGGAAGAGAUGGUCCUGAAUGAAUAUUGCAAAAUGACUUUAAUGCUAUUUGGGCUUUAAAAAGAAAGUUUCAGCUUUCACAAGAUAUUGUGCUACAUGGUAUGGCGAUGAAGAAGCUGUCAGGAAAAAAUCCUCCUUUAUGGCUAAAAAAUUAUACUCCUGUGACCACUUGCCUUUAUCUGAGUUCUGGAUAAAAUAAGGAGCAGGUUGUAUAUGGGGAAAUUAAUGUAUUUGAGAGAAACAGCUGGACAGGAUGCAAGGAGCUGAAUCAACUUGAGUUAUUUAUUCUAAAUUGUUCUUAAGGCUACAAUUGGCCUCUAGAGGAUGUGUUCUAAUGUUAACCUGUCUUUAAAAUGAAUGAAAAUUAUUAAUUACAACAUUUAAAAGGAAACAAGAUAAGUGCUUGUCUAAUAAAUGUUUCUUGAGAUUGAUAUUGUUCUUGUAAAUGACUUUUCCCACUUAAUGGCUCAACCAGCAGUGUUAAUUUCAUUUGUUUCAGCUCAGUUAAGCAUGCUCUCUUUAUUGUCUGAAAGGAAUUUUGUUUAGAAUGUAUCCUUAGCAUUGGGGGCUAAUAUUUUAAAUCACUCUGAUCAAACAAGAGAUGCAGAUUCUUAUCGGGAUGCUGGUCCAUAUCAUGAUGUUCAUCCAAAUCCCGGCUAGGUGUAUCUUUUGAUGCACAUGGGAAUAAGCAUCCGAAACUAGCAUGACUUGCUGCCUGAAAUUACAGCUGGAUCUACCACCGCAUGGUUUUGUAUUUGGGUUUUUUUGCUCAGUUUAUAAGUAAGCCUAGCUUUCAGAUGGCAUCGAUCCAGCAGUUUUUUGAAAAUAGAUAUGGUCUUACAAUUACUUUUUCAAUCACCACACCCUGGUUUUCCUUUUGUAUGGAAAAUUAAUAUGCCCUUUUAUUUCCUUUUUUAAAGGAGAAAGAAUACUUCCACUCUGCUGCAUCCAUUUCAGAUAUAUAGCUAACUAUUUAGUUUCUUGAGCAUUAUGUACAUGGAAAUCUAGUUAAUAAUCAGAACAUGCACAAACAUGGUAGAAAGUUAUGUGGUGUGUGAUAGCUGUAUUCACAUUACUCCUAGUAAUGUUCCUCUGAGAUGCUGGUAGUAGAAGGAUCUCUGAUAUUCAACCCUUCACUGCAUUUAUUUAUUUUUUAUCAUCACUGAUUCCUUUUUAUCAACUUAUCCCUCUGUUCAGAAAUCAGUUGUUAUCAGCCUUCUGUGUUCUCUCCCAUAUCUCCUUGUAUGUCUUGCACCACCUACUUUCUCCCCAUGCUUGCUGCACUGUCACCAUCACUACCAUCAUGCGCAUACCAUCAUCCCUUAUUUAUUUGUUUGUUUGUUUAACAUAUUUUUAUACCACCCCAAACUUAUGUCUCUGGAUGGUUUACAACAAAAAAUGACAACAGAAAGUUAAAACGUUAGUUAAAAUAAAUAAAUGACAACAGAGAAAUUAAAACAUUGGUUAUAAUAAAUGACAGCAAAAAGUUAAAACAUUGUAACCUGAAAAUAAUAUUUUAAAACAAAACUAUUAAAAUUGUAUUUAAUUAAAAGCCUGGGUGAACGGAUGUGUCUUUAAAGAUUUCUUAAAAAUUGUCAGAGUUGGGGAGGCUCUAUGCUCUGUCUCCCAUAUCUCCUUUUAUGU